GAUGAACGCUGGCGGCGUGCCUAAUACAUGCAAGUCGAGCGAACAGACGAGGAGCUUGCUCCUCUGACGUUAGCGGCGGACGGGUGAGUAACACGUGGAUAACCUACCUAUAAGACUGGGAUAACUUCGGGAAACCGGAGCUAAUACCGGAUAAUAUAUUGAACCGCAUGGUUCAAUCGUGAAAGACGGUUUUGCUGUCACUUAUAGAUGGAUCCGCUCCGCAUUAGCUAGUUGGUAAGGUAACGGCUUACCAAGGCAACGAUGCGUAGCCGACCUGAGAGGGUGAUCAGCCACACUGGAACUGAGACACGGUCCAGACUCCUACGGGAGGCAGCAGUAGGGAAUCUUCCGCAAUGGGCGAAAGCCUGACGGAGCAACGCCGCGUGAGUGAUGAAGGUCUUCGGAUCGUAAAACUCUGUUAUUAGGGAAGAACAAAUGUGUAAGUAACUAUGCACGUCUUGACGGUACCUAAUCAGAAAGCCACGGCUAACUACGUG
rnacentral:rRNA from 1 species